rnacentral:misc_RNA from 1 species
CCGAGGGUUCGAAUCCCUCUCUCUCCGCCAUUAAAAUAAGAAUUAAAGUCGGCUACGGCUUUUUGUUUUCUAGGCCGGGCUAUAGCAGUGCCGGGUCUUGCGCAAUAGGAACUCAUGAAUCGCGUCAGGUCCGGAAGGAAGCAGCGCUAAGUGAUCAUUCCUAUGUGCCGCAGGGGUGCCUGGUAUCUGCUAUGGUCCGUUCUAGCAAACAAGUCCGUAGCAAGUUUG